CACGAUCGAGCACCCACAAGUUUCAGCCACUGUGCUGGGAGUAAAGAGAGGAACGAGGUGCAUGCCCGGAGAACCGCACCUGCCAUCCAAGUGACAGAGGUCAGCCCAGGACUGGGAGAGCUUGGAGGAGGGGCCGCCUACCUAGAGAGAACAGAUCCCGGUGGCUGUGAUCGGUCAUUCCAGCUUCGUGCUGGCUGCAGGUGGAUGAUGCCCAGCUGGCUGCCGAUGACUUCUGCACCAAGUGAGGCUGGGUCUCUGGAGCUGCCCCAGGGACUGGACAAGCUGACCCUGGCCGGAGCCAACCUGGAGAUGCAGAUUGAGAACCUCAAGGAGGACCUGGUCUACCUGAAGAAGAACCAUGAGGAGGAAAUGAACGCCCUUUGAGGUCAGGUGCACGAAGAUGUCAGUGUGAAGAUGGACACUGUGCCUGGAGUGAACCUGAGCUGCAUCCUGAAUGAGAUGUGUGACCAGGACAAGAAAUUGGUGGAGAAGAGCUGCAAGGAUGCCGAGGGCUGGUUCUUCAGCGUGAAAGCAUCGCUGGAGGGCAGCCUGGUGGAGACGGAGGUGUGUUACGGGACCCAGCUGGCCCAGUUGCAGGGGCUCAUCAGAAGCAUGGAGUAGCAGCUGUGCGAGCUCUGCUGUGACACGAGGACCACGAGCACCAGGUCCUUCUGGAUGUGAAGACAUGGCUGGAGCAGGAGGUCGCCACCUACCGCCGCUUGCUGGAGGUUGAGGAGGCCCAGCUGGCCACUCAGUACUCCUUGUCCCUGGCCUCACAGCCCACCCGGGAAGCCACAGUGACCAUCUACCAGCUGUGCCAUCGUGGUGGAAGUCCAGGUUGGAGAGGUGGCCUCCUUCUGUGAGCAGAUCCAACUCUCCACCACCGAGGCCCCUUUCUGCCUGUGACAGCCCCACCUCACGGGCCACGGCACAGCCCUCAGCUCCAGCUCCAGCAUGAUGCUGCCAUGCCCCGAGUGUCCAACUGGGCCCCGGUCCAUGGCCUGUGGUCUUUCUGUAUCUGCUUCCUGUAGCCCCACACUGAGGAGGCCUCCUGGGUUUGUCCAGUGCCUGCUAUUAAAGCUUUGCCCCAAGUUCAA